rnacentral:tRNA from 1 species
GCCAGCGUGGCACAGUGCUUUGAGCUUUGAACUACAACUCUGGAGACCAGGGUUUGAAUCCCGGCUCAGUCA